CAGACAGCCAGGAUGUUGGCUUAGAAGCAGCCAUCAUUUAAAGAAAGCGUAAUAGCUCACUGGUCGAGUCGGCCUGCGCGGAAGAUGUAACGGGGCUAAACCAUGCACCGAAGCUGCGGCAGCGACACUAUGUGUUGUUGGGUAGGGGAGCGUUCUGUAAGCCUGUGAAGGUGGCCUGUGAGGGUUGCUGGAGGUAUCAGAAGUGCGAAUGCUGACAUAAGUAACGAUAAAGCGGGUGAAAAGCCCGCUCGCCGGAAGACCAAGGGUUCCUGUCCAACGUUAAUCGGGGCAGGGUGAGUCGACCCCUAAGGC
rnacentral:rRNA from 1 species